rnacentral:rRNA from 1 species
UACGUAGGGGGCAAGCGUUGUCCGGAUUUACUGGGCGUAAAGCGCGUGUAGGCGGCAGCGUGUGUCGGGCGUGAAAUCCCACGGCUCAACCGUGGAAGUGCACUCGAAACUGCGCAGCUAGAGUCCUGGAGAGGAAGGUGGAAUGCUUGGUGUAGAGGUGAAAUUCGUAGAUAUCAAGCGGAACACCGGUGGCGAAGGCGGCCUUCUGGACAGUGACUGACGCUGAGACGCGAAAGCGUGGGGAGCAAACAGG